GACGAACGCUGGCGGCGUGCUUAACACAUGCAAGUCGAACGGAAAGGCCCUGCUUUUGUGGGGUGCUCGAGUGGCGAACGGGUGAGUAACACGUGAGUAACCUGCCCUUGACUUUGGGAUAACUUCAGGAAACUGGGGCUAAUACCGGAUAGGAGCUCCUGCUGCAUUGUGGGGGUUGGAAAGUUUCGGCGGUUGGGGAUGGACUCGCGGCUUAUCAGCUUGUUGGUGGGGUAGUGGCUUACCAAGGCUUUGACGGGUAGCCGGCCUGAGAGGGUGACCGGCGACAUUGGGACUGAGAUACGGCCCAGACUGCUACGGGAGGCAGCAGUGGGGAAUAUUGCACAAUGGGAGGAAGCCUGAUGAAGCAACGCCGCGUGCGGGAUGACGGCCUUCGGGUUGUAAACCGCUUUCGCCUGUGACGAAGCGUGAGUGACGGUAAUGGGUAAAGAAGCACCGGCUAACUACGUG
rnacentral:rRNA from 1 species